rnacentral:rRNA from 1 species
AUUGAACGCUGGCGGCAGGCUUAGCACAUGCAAGUCGAGCGGGGAAGGGUAGCUUGCUACCUGACCUAGCGGCGGACGGGUGAGUAAUGCUUAGGAAUCUGCCUAUUAGUGGGGGACAACAUUCCGAAAGGAAUGCUAAUACCGCAUACGCCCUACGGGGGAAAGCAGGGGAUCUUCGGACCUUGCGCUAAUAGAUGAGCCUAAGUCAGAUUAGCUAGUUGGUGGGGUAAAGGCCUACCAAGGCGACGAUCUGUAGCGGGUCUGAGAGGAUGAUCCGCCACACUGGGACUGAGACACGGCCCAGACUCCUACGGGAGGCAGCAGUGGGGAAUAUUGGACAAUGGGCGCAAGCCUGAUCCAGCCAUGCCGCGUGUGUGAAGAAGGCCUUUUGGUUGUAAAGCACUUUAAGCGAGGAGGAGGCUACUUGGAUUAAUACUCUAGGAUAGUGGACGUUACUCGCAGAAUAAGCACCGGCUAACUCUGUGCCAGCCGCCGCCGUAA